GAAGUUUGAGGCCGGCCGCUUGGUGGCGCCUGUGGCCGCAGGGAUUUGACUGGGCCUUCUCUAGCUUUCCCCGGUUUGCUGCACUUGACGCUGCAGGGCGGGCGGGGUAAAGAAGGGAGCGAGCCCUUCUCAAGCUUGGAAAGUUUCCAGACUGCUGGGCCAGCCUCCUCCCCAGAGGGAAACUGAGGUCCGAUUGAGGUUUCUCCAAGACCGCCCACUCCUGCUCCUGUCCCCAAACCCCUUUCUGCCUAGGGUUCCUGGAAGCCAAGGAAACAGAACGAACUGUUCCCUGGGUGGGCGAGCCACUGCAGAGUACAAAGCUUUCAGGCCGCCUGCCUCAUUAGCACUAAUGGCUGCUCCCUUCCGCCCUGUGUCGUCAGGACUGUCUAUGCCUGGUCUCAUCAGCACAAGGCUGGGUAACAGCUGAAGAAGUCCCAGGAGUCCUCCCAUGUCCUCUCAGCAACCCAGGCUGGAGCCUACUCCUUGGUGUUGGCAAAGGAAACCGUCUUUGAAGCCAGAGGGAGCCCUGAAUUCAUGCAGAGGAGUUUUUCUACCUUCCAUCUGCUUCUGCAUAUCAUCUUGUCUACUUAAUGCCCCUCCUUCCGGAUUUAUAGAACAGUAUGCAUAAUAUGACCCCAACUGCAUUCCAAAAAAUAGAUGUAGAUGUAAGCUUAGAGAUGCAAAGAAACUUUUUGAGAGAAUUCACUAUGCUUCUCGCGGGUGGUGACACAGUUCAAGGAGGUUCCAUGGGGUGUAAUGUUUAUCUUUCUCUUUUGUCCUUCUGAUCAUUGAAAUGAUGCUUUGUGUGUGUGAACAUGUAUUACUUUUAUAAUUAAAAUAGAAAAAUUAAUUUGAAUGGGACAAAUGCUCGAAGUCAAAGUCACCUGUUAUAACUGCUGUCACUAACAGGGCAACUGUUUGAAAAUGCUGCAGAAACAUGAGAAAUGUUCAUGAAGUGACCCUGUGGAGGCUUCCGGUCACAGGAUCAUGUGAGCGCCACGAUCACCCCAGGGGUGGAGCAGAUGCUAAGUGUUCACCACACCCAAUUCUCUUCCUGGACACACAGGAAGAUGACAUUUCCAGUGACAUGCCCCACCUCUAGGCCCUAGUCUUUUUUUUAUUUAAAGGUCUGAGUCUUGUUCUGUCACCCAGGCUGGAGUGCAGUGCUGUGAUCAUGACUCACUGCAGCCUCAACCUCCUGUGCUCAAACAAUCCUCCCACCUCAGCCUCCCUAAUAGCUGAUGUCAUAUAGGCAUGAGCCAGUGUGCCUGGCUCAGGCCCUACCCUUAAAAGCAUCCCACCUGAUUCACCAGCCCCCUUCUCUCUCUCAGUAAACUUGGAAACCACGCAUUCCAGAUGGUAUAAUUUACAGCAUGAUGGAAAAAGCCAGCUCUCCAUGGGAAGCUGGCCAGUCUUCAUUGGAGUACAUUUUUAUUGCAUGAAGCCAAUGAGACUUGAUAUUGUUUAACUCUGUGGUUUCCAAAGUGCGGUCCUUUUGAAGUAUCCAUAAAGUCUACACUAGGUUCACGGUAAUAUUAAGAUGUUAUUUGUCAGCUGGGCACGGUGGCUCACGCCUAUAAUCUCAGCACUUUGGGAGGCCAAGGCAAAUGGAUAAUGAGGUCAG
rnacentral:lncRNA from 1 species